rnacentral:rRNA from 1 species
UACGAAGGGGGGCUAGCGUUGCUCGGAAUCACUGGGCGUAAAGGGUGCGUAGGCGGGUUUUUUAAGCAGGGGUGAAAUCCUGGAGCUCAACUCCAGAACUGCCUUUGAUACUGGCGACCUUGAGUCCGGGAGAGGUGAGUGGAACUGCGAGUGUAGAGGUGAAAUUCGUAGAUAUUCGCAAGAACACCAGUGGCGAAGGCGGCUCACUGGCCCGGUACUGACGCUGAGGCUCGAAAGUGUGGGGAUCAAACAGG